UCUAUAAAUUCAAAAGAGGAUCUGUUCCAACGUUUUUGAAGAUCCUUUCGUGUAUCGUGUUUUUAUAAUUUGGGCCAUAUAGCCAAUGAUUGAAUUUACUGCAGUAAAGAAUGAAAUUAUUAUCUUUUCUUUAGAAUCUUUGACAUUCAUACAGAUGUUAGAGUGUUACUCGAAUAUUGGAGCCCUUAUCAUGGUCUUAAAAAACCUAUGGACCCGGAUAGGAUUAAGGGUUGAAACCUCAAGAAAGUUGUUUAUUUGUGGGAUAUUUUAUGCUGCUCUCACAACCAGGGUCCAUAGCAAAGUCCCGUUUUUAUCAUUUUUUUUACUAGGCUAAAGGUUCCCGAGUUGUCUUCUACGAGUAUAUCUCGAAUGAUUCUAUCACUAUGUAACAUAAAUUUGAGCAACUUGCCUAAACACCUCUAGAUAAUGGUAUUGAAGGCUAUCUAGAUAUUCUCAGAAGUAUUACACGUUCGAACAACUUUUAAGGUUGUCGGUAAGAAGAUCGACCCUUUUUACUAAUAUUAUAUUUUAUUCUAUAAAUAGCAACGAAGCUUGAAGAGAUUCGAAUAAUGACUAAAAUAUUUUUCUUUUUUUUCAGUCCCAUACUCAGCAACACACAGCACACGUUUUAGGAUUAUUGAAAUAUACACCAGUAAUAUAUACAAAGUACUCAGGUACACCGAACAGAUUUACAAUUAUAUUCACACAUUUAAGAGAGUAGAUCAGGAAAGUAAGGAAACUUACUUGUAACGAGAAACGACGAUGUCCAGCCUUUCGUCCACCACGUCGUUUACUUAUAUGCGGAUUGUCUUGACUUCAGCACGUAUAUCCUCUGGGCUCAUUUCGGCAAUUGUUAGUUCACCAAUAUCGGGAUCACCCAAACAUAGACCAGCAUAACCACCGCCCAGACGUUGCGGAUCGUUGACCUUGAAAGCAUCCACAGGUAAACGUAU